rnacentral:rRNA from 1 species
UCGAGAAUCUUCCGCAAUGGGCGAAAGCCUGACGGAGCGAUGCCGCGUGAGGGAUGAAGGCCUUCGGGUUGUAAACCUCUGUCGCCCGGGACGAAAUUUGACGGUACCGGGAGAGGAAGCUACGGCUAACUACGUGCCAGCAGCCGCGGUAAUACGUAGGUAGCGAGCGUUAUUCGGAUUUACUGGGCGUAAAGGGUCUGCAGGGGGCCUGCCAAGUCUGGCGUGAAAUUCCAAGGCUCAACCUUGGAACUGCGUUGGAUACUGGCGGGCUAGAGUGCAUGAGGGGAGAACAGAAUACCUGGUGUAGCGGUGGAAUGCGCAGAUAUCAGGUGGAACACCGACGGCGAAGGCGGUUCUCUGGCAUGCAACUGACCCUGAGGGACGAAAGCGUGGGGAGCAAACA